CUUUCUUGUCUGUCUUGUCGAAGAAAAUUGCAGUCAAUGCUUUUUUGUUAAGGGUUUAUAUGGUUUUUUUUCUCUUAAAUUUGUCCACUCAGGGUAUUACCAAUACAGUGGGGGCUGUACCAGGAAUUGUAGGUGUUGCUCUCACCGGUUAUCUUCUUGAUUCAACUCAUUCAUGGAGUGUAUCACUAUUUGCACCGUCGAUCUUCUUCUACCUUACAGGUACAAUUGUAUGGUUGGCUUUUGCAAGCAGCAAGCCUCAAAGCUUUUCGGAGAGCGAUUGAUGUCACUGCCGCCGAGCUCUUGAUUAAUUAUCCUCAGUUAAGCAUCAAAUCAAAGGAAAUUUCAUCUACUACAUUUUUACUAACUUGAUCUUUUACAGCAGGUUGAGUAGGAGUUUGACCACAUUCACUGACCACUUUUUUUUUUGUGGAUGUAUCAUAUCAUUGUUUCACAACUCAAUGUAAUUUGAUGGAUAGUGUAUAAAUGUGUUGUAUACUUUUGAUGAUAUAAUUUCUGGGUAAUAAUUAAUGUUGUAUAUGGUUGGUCACCAAAACCAUCAAAACCAUAUAGUUUUUCAUAUGAAAAAGCUUUUUUAGGGUC